UCUCAACAAACAGCUGGAUGCCUCACAUGAAGCCCGAUCUGCAUUAGAAAACCAGUUGGAACGACUCACGAGAGAAAAGGUCGAUCUUGCCACUGAGCUCGAGCAGGCAAAAGGCCAAAUAAUGGCGCAUACAACUGAAAUAGCUCAGACCGGUGUUAACAUGCAGCAAGAGCUGGAGCAAACGCGGAAGAAGCUUUUAGUGGCUCAUCAGGAGAUAACUGCUCUGAAAGCAACGACUCAACAAUCUCAGCGUGAAAGAGAACUGG